UAAGGCCCUAGCUUAAUUAAAGCAUCUGAGUUGCAUUCGGGGGAUGCAGGAUAGUGUCCUGCGGGUCUUAG
rnacentral:tRNA from 1 species